UUCAGAGUCCUUAUACUCCACACUCUUUCCAAAUUUCUCUCAUUCCUAAUUCACUUAUUCCAUACCUAAGUUCUCAAUUUCUACAGAUAAUAAAAUACAAACACACACAAAAUAUAAGAUAUCAUCACGCACAUCAAAGCCAGACAUUUCAAAUCACUUUCUGAAUCAUCCUAUACCAGAUCACGCAGCAAGCACAUGAUAUUCAGAUUUCUUGUGCAACUGUACUAGAUCACACAAUAAGUAUAGUGCAUCUUGCAUCUGCACCAAUCACACAGCAAGUGCAGUGUACUCAAAUUUUGUACGUACACACACUGGUUAUACAUGUCAC
rnacentral:lncRNA from 1 species